rnacentral:rRNA from 1 species
AUGGUCACAAACCACACUUUUUAUACAGAUUCUAAUGGAAGGGAUUUUCUCAAGAGGGUGAGAGACUACAGGGAAGAUUGGGAUCUUCAAGUGACUCAACCGGUUGCAGGAAAUUACUAUCCCGUCAAUCUCGGAAUGUAUGUAACAGAUGGGAAAUAUGAACUUAGUGUCCUUGUUGAUCGUGCUGUUGGAGCUUCAAGCAUUCAGGAUGGUCAAAUAGAAAUGAUGUUCCACAGGCGUAUACUUUAUGAUGAUGGCAGAGGUGUUGGGGAGCCACUCGAUGAAACUGUUUGCGUUGACAGCAAAUGUGAUGGGCUCGUGGCUAGGGGUACUUAUUAUGUCAAUGUCAACAAGCUUGGACAUGGAGCUCACUGGCGAAGGACACAAGGACAAAAAGUUUAUUCACCCUUUCUUCUUGGUUUCGCUCAUGAGGAUGAGAGCAGUUGGAAAUCCUACAGUGUUGUGAAAGCGAGCAUGAUGGAUGCAAAUUACAGUCUUCCUGAUAAUGUGGCAAUCAUCACCUUGCAGUAUCUCGAUGAUGGUACCACACUUCUCCGCUUGGCACAUUUGUUUCAGGCUGCAGAGGACCCACAGUACUCAGUGAUGGCAAAAGUUGAACUGAAAAAAUUCUUUGGAAAGAGAACUAUCAAGGAAUUGACUGAAACUAACCUGUCCGCCAACCAAAAGAAGUCAGCGAUGAGGAAGCUCAAGUGGAGGGUUGUUGGAGACACUGAAAGUAGUCCUGCCCCAAUUACCGGUAGACCGGUUGACAGUCAAGCCCUUGUUGUCGAGCUGGGGCCCAUGGAGAUACGCACAUUCUUGCUGAAACUGUGA